rnacentral:tRNA from 1 species
GGGGUUGUGGCUCAAGAGGUAGAGUGCUUGCCUAGCAUGCAUGAGGCCCUGGGUUCAAUCCUCAGCACCACA